rnacentral:rRNA from 1 species
UACGUAGGGGGCAAGCGUUGUCCGGAUUUAUUGGGCGUAAAGAGCUCGUAGGUGGUUCGGUAAGUCGGAUGUGAAAUCUCCAGGCUCAACCUGGAGGGGUCAUUCGAUACUGCCGUGACUAGAGUUCGGUAGGGGAGUGUGGAAUUCCUGGUGGAGCGGUGAAAUGCGCAGAUAUCAGGAGGAACACCCGUAGCGAAGGCGGCACUCUGGGCCGAUACUGACACUGAGGAGCGAAAGCGUGGGGAGCGAACAGGG